rnacentral:lncRNA from 1 species
CAUCAAAGUUGUCUAGACGAUUGAUGUAGUCCAUGACGCGUGAUGGAUCGGCUUUAAUGGCUGUUAAGAUGAGAAGGUUUUGAAGGUUGAAGUUUCCACUGAAAGCAGAGUUUUGAAGAACGAUUUUCUCGAGUAGCUCGAUUAGCUCGUGGGGGAGAUCGGCUGUCAUGAAAGCUUUCACAGCUGCUGACACUUGCUCGGGGCUUUUGCUUUCAGGUAAGGCUGUAGAGACAACUUGAUCGAUGAGCUGGCGUCUGUAUUCGUUCUCA